UUCAUAUGAACAUGACUUUAAAUCCGAAGUUAAAGGCAUGAUAACAAGACUAUAGUCUUGCAAGGAAGUUUCCAUAUUAAUUAUUCUUAUUCUGAGAAUUUUCACCAAAAUUUCUGACAGAUUUUGAAGAGGGAUUGUAAAAUACCGGGUGCUGUACUACCUUUUCUCAUUGAAAAAAGUGCUUUGCUACGUGUCAACGAUUUCCAAUCUCAAUAAAUAACAUUCAGUAUUUAAUCAUAUUUAAUCCAAUACUGAUAACUUUGUUUGCAAUAUAAUUAACAAUUAUUGACUAAAAUAUAUAAGAGCUAAUAACAAUCAAGUAAGCAAUGCGUCAAAUGAAAGGGAAAACGAAAGAAACCAAUAAACAAAAAAAGGAACGUAAGAAAGAAUUUUUAGAAAACAAACAACGUGUUUUCACUCUUGUCUUACCAACAAUAGCAGCUAUUUUUUCAUUAAUAGCUGCUUAUGUUUAUUUUAAAACCCGUCCAAAAGCCGUCGAUUUUUAAUUAAUUAUUAUUAUUUUCUUUAUAAUGUAUUUAUUGGAAAUGCUCAUAUUUUAUAGUAGCUGUUUUACAAAUCGUAUGUAUAUUUUUAUUACUCGUUUUAAUUCAAAACAUAUACAAACAUAUAAUGCUUUUAUUUGAUUUUUGUUUAUAUAUAAUUUCUUAAUGCAUUUCAUUUUUUUUUCUGUAAAAAAAGAAAGAAUAGUAGAAACCAUAUGUUUAUGUUUAAUUGAAAAUUAUUAUUAAAGGUAGAAUUGAGUAUUAUAUUCCUCUUGAUAUAAGAGACAAAAUACAAUAUAGUAUAUAUAGCUUGACUAGCUUAUAAGAAUAUGAAAAUAUAUUUGUUACUCAAAGAGAAAAUGUUUAUAUAUUUUUCGAUUUUCAAUGCAUUUUAUAAAAGAGAAAUAAUUAUGUAAAUCAUAUAAUUAGGUAUGCAUAUAUGUAUUGUAAGUAUAUUAAUAUUGUGAAUUGUGUAUAUGGGGUCCAAAAGUAAUAAAAUAUAUUUAUGUUUA